rnacentral:rRNA from 1 species
GAUGAACGCUGGCGGCGUGCUUAACACAUGCAAGUCGAACGGUAAAGCCCUGCUUUCGUGGUGGGUUCGUGUCGAAAGCGUGAGUGACACAUGAGUGUACUCCCCUUUACACUUUGGUAUACCUUCAGGAAUGUGUCUAUUAUCCCAUAUAGGCGCCUACGGCGCGUGGUGUGGUGUGGAGAUUUAGCGGGUUUGGAUGGACUCGCGGCGUAUCAGCUUGUUGGUGGGGUAUUGGCUCACCAAGGCGCUGACGGGUAGCCGGCCUGAGAGGGUGACCGGCCACAUUGGGACUGAGAUACGGCCCAGACUCCUACGGGAGGCAGCAGUGGGGAAUAUUGCACAAUGGGCGGAAGCCUGAUGCAGCAACGCCGCGUGAGGGAUGACGGCCUUCGGGUUGUAAACCGCUUUCAGCAGGGACGAAGCGAAAGUGACGGUAACGGCAGAAGAAGCACCGGCUAACUACGUG